rnacentral:lncRNA from 1 species
GUGGACGAAGGUCAGGGGGAGGGACGAGGCCCUGGGCUUAGGGCGGUGUUGGGUGAGCGGAGGUGGGUGGGAUGGCAAGCCCACCCUUUCUAGCAGAGCCCUCAAAGUUUAGAAAAAGGGCACAGCCACUAGCCAGCACCGCCAUCCUGCCGUAAGUCCCCCACACUGCCCUGUGUGGCCAUCCCAAGCCUACCCCUUGCCUCUUGGCAACCUCUUCUGACCUAUGAUUUUGGCCUGUCCAGUGUCACAUAAACGGGAUCCUGGUGGCUUGAGCCUGGCUUCUUUUGCUCCGCAUUGUGUCCUGAGACUCCACCUGGACUCGAUGCCUCCCAUGGCUGAGGAGUCCUCUCCCAGGUGGGGACAGCGCCGCCUGCCUCUCUGCUCACCACUGAAGGACACUGGUUCCUGCCCGUGUCAGCUUUUCGUCUCUGUGACAAAAUGCCCGAGAAAAGCAGCUUCAAGCGGGAAAGGUUUGUUUUGGCUGCCAGUUUCAGAAGUUCUAAUCCGUGGUCAAUGGUCUCCAUGGCUUUGGGGCCCAAGGUGAAGUAGCAGGAGCACGUGGUGACGGAGAAGCUGAGAAGGAGAGACACAGAGAAUGAAAGUCAGGGAUCAGGGACAAGAUGGACCCUUCCAGGGCACGCCCCCAGCGACCUGCUUCCUUGAAGUAGGUCCCAUCUCCUAGGGUUGCCAAUAGUCGCCUUCCAAUAAGACCAUCAACAUGGACCCCCAGGGCUGAAGCCAUCGGUGAGGUCAGAGUCCUCAGGAGCCAAUGGCUUCCCCUCUG